rnacentral:lncRNA from 10 species
CAAAACUGUCCAUAUUUGACCUGAAUAUUAUCUCACGUAUCUUUCUUUCCCCCCGCUUCCCUCCUUCCCUCCUACUCCUCCUUCUCCCUCUCCUUCCUUCUGUCUUUUUUUUCCCCUUCCUCUGCCUCUCUCUCCUCUUCCCUUUUUUCUUGCUGGGACUCAAACCUGGGACAUUUGACCUGGGAGCCUAUUUGCUCAAUCAUCAAGAGACAUAAUCUCAUGGUGGGGUGUCUGCUGGUAAGUGCCGGGUGGCAGGAUCCCAACUCCAGGCCGUCCUUCUAACCCAAGAGGCCCUGCCUCUGCCUAGAGCCUUCCGUGGCUCCCCAGGGCCCUCUGUGAUCGGCCAUAGUGGUAUGAUUCAGUGUGCAGUAACAGUGGUUCACAUCUUGACGC